rnacentral:rRNA from 1 species
GACGAACGCUGGCGGCGUGCUUAACACAUGCAAGUCGAACGGUAAGGCUCCAGCUUGCUGGGGUACACGAGUGGCGAACGGGUGAGUAACACGUGGGUGACCUGCCCUGCACUUCGGGAUAAGCCUGGGAAACUGGGUCUAAUACCGGAUAGGACCGCACCGUGAGGGUGUGGUGGAAAGUUUUUCGGUGUGGGAUGGGCCCGCGGCCUAUCAGCUUGUUGGUGGGGUAAUGGCCUACCAAGGCGGCGACGGGUAGCCGGCCUGAGAGGGUGGACGGCCACAUUGGGACUGAGACACGGCCCAGACUCCUACGGGAGGCAGCAGUGGGGAAUAUUGCACAAUGGGCGGAAGCCUGAUGCAGCGACGCCGCGUGGGGGAUGACGGCCUUCGGGUUGUAAACUCCUUUCACCAUCGACGAAGGGUUUCUGACGGUAGAUGGAGAAGAAGCACCGGCUAACUACGU